AGGUGGAGGCUGACAGAAGAGAGUGAGCACACAUGGUGCCUUUCUUGCAUGGUGAAUUAAUGGGAGAAGUUCAUGCUUGAAGCUAUGUGUGCUCAUUUCUCUCUCUGUCAGCCAUUAUAACU
rnacentral:pre_miRNA from 1 species